UACAGGGAGUCCGACGUUGUUCGGAUUCACUGGGCGUAAAGGGUGCGUAGGUGGUUAGGUAAGUCCGAUGUGAAAUCUCCAGGCUCAACCUGGAAAUGGCAUUGGAUACUAUCUAGCUUGAGGAGUGGAGGGGGGACUGGAAUUCUCGGUGUAGCAGUGAAAUGCGUAGAUAUCGAGAGGAACACCAGUGGCGAAGGCGAGUCCCUGGACACUUCCUGACACUGAGGCACGAAAGCUAGGGGAGCAAACAGG
rnacentral:rRNA from 1 species